CUUAACAACCAGAGCGUCUGCCACCGCUCCUGAACGGGAGAGAAGGAGAGUGGCUUUUCCCUCCAAUCCGCCGGCUGCACAGUGGCGUACGGCGUGGCUCCUGCAGAUCCACCAAUCUCAGGGUCUGGUUUCUGAUGAACUUCAAUCUCCCAGAAUGCUUAGUGCAGCGGCCGAAUUCAGUUAAGAAACUACACCUCCCAUGAAACCCUGCAGUAUAACCUUGAAGUAAUAGCAGAGAAGAAAACGCUCCUAUCCCAGGGCCAGUGGCGCAAUGGAUAACGCGUCUGACUACGGAUCAGAAGAUUCCAGGUUCGACUCCUGGCUGGCUCGAUGGGUUCUCCCUGUGCUUCCCGGACUGGUCUCAGACUCCUGGACUCAAGCAAUCCUCCCUCCUUGGGGUUCUGAAGUGCUAGGAUUAUAGGGUCUCACUUUGUCACCCAGGCUGCAGUGCAGUGGCAUGUUGGACAAAAUCUUUAGCUCCUCCAUCCUGACAGAAGGAAGAAAGAAAUGUCAAGUGGAAGAUCCCUGAUAGCAGCAGGCUUAGGAAUGGACACGGUAACUGCCGAUGGUCAAGGUAUGAGCUAAACACUGAUAGGAUAAACAAGGUCACUCUGAAUCUCUGAGCAAUUGCUCUCCAAAAAAAAAAAAUACAAAAAUUGGCUGAGUGCAGUGGCUCACACCUAUAAUCCCAGCAUUUUGGGAGACCGAGGCAGGUGGAUUGCCUGAGGUCAGGAGUUCGAGACCAACCUGGCCAACAUGUCAAAACCCCAUCUUUACUAAAACUACAACAAUUAGCCCAAUGUGGUGGCACAUACCUGUAAUCUCAGCUACUCAGAAGGCUGAAACAUGAGAAUCGCAUGAACCCGUGAGAUGGAGGUGGAAGUGAGCGAAGAUCACACCACUGCACUCUAGCCAGGGCAACAGAGCAAGAAUCCAUCUCAAAAAUAAAAAAAAUACAAAAAUUAGCUGGGCAUGGUGGCACCCACCUGUAGUCCCAGCUACCUGCGAGGCUGAGGUGGAAGGAUCAUUUGAGCCUAGGAGGUUGAGGCUACAGUGAGCCGUGGUUUUUUUGUUUUUGUUUUGUCAAUUCUCCUUAAUAAAGCUGUGUUUAUGCUACUACAUUCCAGCCACAAAGUGAGACCCUGUUUCAAAAAAAAAAAGUUAAGUCAAAGACAUUAAUUCUUCUUGUAAAUAAAUCCAGACCAUCAUGUGGCAACAAAGUGAGACCCUGUUUCAAAAAAUAAUAAAGGAAAAAAAAGUUGAGUCGAAGACAUUCUUUCUGUAAAUAAAGCUAGACCACCAUUUGAUAUUAGCAGAAUGCCCCAAGACAGUUUCCCUGGAAAAUGGUUUCAGAAACUGAGUAGGCUCUUCUAAAUAAAGGUAGAGGCCUUCUGCUUCUGCUCUUAGUCCCCCAUUUUGACACCAGCCAGGACUCUGCCUUGUUCUAAGCUGACUGUUGAACUUGGUUCCUCAGGGGGAUCUCCUCCAAACCUCUGCUCUUGGAAAAAAAAGUAGCCCUCAAACUACACUAGAGGCAACCAGGAACACAAGUGGCUUGUGUCCUUUCCUAUAAGUGAGGUGGACACUGGCUGCUUCAUUUAUUUAUUUAUUUAAUUUUUGAGACAGGGUCUCACUCUGUCACCCAGGCUGAGUGCAGCACUGCCAUCAUGGCUAACUGCAGCCUUGACCUCCUGGGUUCAAGUGAACCUCCUGCCACAGCCUCCUGAGUAGCUGGUACUACAGGCACACACCAUCACACUAAUUAAAAAUUUUUUUUCAGCUGGGUGUAGCGGCGCACGCCUGUAAUCCCAGCUACUCCAGAGGCUGAGGCAGGAUAAUCACUUGAACCCAAGAGCUGGAGAUUGUAGUGAGGUGAAAUUGUGCCACUGCACUCCAGCCUGGCAACAGAGCAAUACUCCAUCUAAAAAAAAAAAUCUUUUUUUCAUAGAGACAAAGGUCUUGCUAUGUUGCCCAGGCUGAUCUUCAACAGCUGGGCUCAAGUGAUUAUCUUGCCUUGGCCUCCCAAAGUGCUGGAAUUACAUGUGUGAGUCACUGCUCCCAGCCUCAGUUGCUUUACUGUAACUCCCACACUGAUACCCAUAGUGAGAAAAUAGCUCCCUACCUGCCUGAGCAUCUAGCAUUCCUCUGGAGAUUAUAGCUCUCCAAGAGCAAGCCCAAAUUUAAUCCACUCUGCUCUCCCAAAAUGAAGCCUCUAAGACUUGAUAUAGGCAGGCUGGCAACUCUAUCUCUUACUCUUUGCAUAAGCAUCAUGUAUCUGUCUCUAUUUGGA